GGCGCGCCGCUACGUCGCCCCCCAGGGGCGCGCUGGGCCUGGAGUCUGCGGUUUGGGGGCUUCCUCUUCCUCUGGCUGGAGAGGCCUGGCCUGGGUCCUUGUGAGAUAUGGGGACGCUAGGUCCGCCCGAAGCGGGUGGUUCGGCGCUUUCUGGGCACGGUAGCCUUGCGUCUUGGUCACUGCCUUUGAGCGAGCCGAUGUGCAGAUGCGAACGCCGAGGUUUAGAGGAUGGAACCCUUUUUCCAGGUCUGGGACUCAAGGCUCCAGGCUCCUGAUGAGCUAUCCAAGGGAGAGUUGCGUGGAUCCGUGACCUGUUCCUACACAAAGCACCUGUGGGCACCACUGCAAGAUACUGAAGUCAUCUGGGAAGGCCCUCGGUUCUGUUCCCAGGUCCAUCUGAAUACACUGGGCAGACCUAUGAUCCUGGCUGGUGGAAAGGAGGGUGAGCAGAUCAUGACAUGACAGGACCCUGUUAGGGAAUCCUACCUAUCUCACGAAAUAAGUAAAUAAACUUUUUAAAAAUCACAA